rnacentral:lncRNA from 1 species
UGGGAAUGAGGAUCACGAAUAGUUUGAACAAUUGUAGACCAUUUAGGAUAUAUACCAUCAGCUAAGUAAUAACCCAUAUCGUAUUAUUUUCCUUGAAUAACAUAAUGGGUGGGAGGCACAAUACCGCUAGCAAGAUUGGAAAAUAAAUGUGAUGACUCUAAAACAUUAAUAUCGUUAUUGGUGCCAGGCAAACCAAAAUAAGCAUGCCAUAUCCAAAGGUCAUAAUCAGCAACAACUUCAAGAAUAAUUGUUGGUGAUCAACUACGACCUGCGUAUUGCCCAGCCCAUGCCGUUGGACAAUUUUUCCAUUUCCAGUGCAUGCAAUCUAGACUACCUAACAUUCCUG